rnacentral:lncRNA from 1 species
CUCUGAUUCGACCCCCUAGCCUGGGAACUUCCAUAUGCUGUGGGUGCGGCCCUAAAGAGACAAAAAGACCAAAAAAAAAAAAAAAAGAAAUUUACACUUUCGAUAGUUCCUAAAUUCAUUCUUUGAGUCAGGCACACCUCUAGCCAGUCAUCUUUUAUUGGUUUGAUAAAUAUAAUUAGAAAUUGGUAAGGGCUCUUUGAUGUAGUCUGUUAAUUAUAUGUAUGAACUUUUCAAGUCAUGCGGGAGGGUGAUCUGUAUUACAUAAUAUGCACAAAGGCACAGUCCAUGUUUCGUAAAGUUGCUCACAUAAUAUUUUCAAGAAGUUUUAGUGACUUUCGGACAAUUGAUCAAUAUCAGUACUCCCAAGAUUAGGCACCAUUGUUUGCCUUAUUCCUGUUGUCUGAUAAAGGGGCAUCAUUCCCUUUUUUGUAGGUACAAACUUAAGAGUUUGAACUGGGUGGCAGAUUAUUACAAGAGAAUUUUGGCUUUUUGUUUUUAGUUUUGGGAGGUAGUACUUACCUACUCAUCCACAAAGUCAAUUACCUUUAAGUCUUGCAGAUUGUUUUGAUUAAUGGAAUAAUCUAUAAUGUGGGGACCAUCUGUAUUUGGAUAAAGUUAAUGAAAAAUUAAGGUUGAGAUAUACUAGCUGCAAUAUUUGAGGUUAGUGAAGAAGAAAUAAACUGAGGUAUUACUCUAGAGACCAUGCUGUUAUGAUUUGGCAUGAGAAAUUUCCUUGCCCAGAAGAUUGAUGUGUAGGACGUGUUGGUUUCAGUUUAAAUCAAUAGGAUUUUAAAACAUCUGUUCCUAUAUGUAAGGUAUAAUUCUUACCACAUUUUAUUUAGUGAAUGAUACUCAUGUUGUAGUGACAUUUUUAUACUUUGUUACAUUAUGACUAAUGUAAUUUUUUUGGGGAAAAAUACUGGUUAUUUUUUCUCAUUUACAUGCAGUGUAUAAAAAAGUGGACGUAGAUUGAAAUAAUAAUGGAAAGCAAAAAUGUAAAAAUUUUGAAAAUUGGCAGUAAUUUAGCAGUUGAGAUUCUCCAAAAAAUUGGGCAACUCUCAAAUGCUUGGGUAAUAAGCAAUGGAGUAUAAUUAUUUGCUUUCCAUAUGGAGUAUAUUGCAUUGAAAAGUUCAGUUAUAUUGGUUUUGUUUUGUUGUGUUUUAGAACAGUACCAAUCUCAUGUACCCAGUCUUCAGAAGGUUUACACUAUGGUUUAUGAUUGGGGAUAUAAUCAUCCACCUUAUAAGAAAGACAUUUCAGUAAUUGUUUUAACCUUUCUGUAUAGCAUGAUGACAGAGAUGAUGGUGUGGAUUAUUGGGCCAAAAGAGGAAGAGGUCGUGGUACUUUUCAGCGUGGCAGAGGGCGCUUUAACUUCAAAAAAUCAGGUAGCAGUCCAAAAUGGACUCAUGACAAAUACCAAGGGGAUGGGAUUGUUGAAGAUGAAGAAGAGACCAUGGAAAAUAAUGAAGAGAAGAAGGACAGACGCAAAGAAGAAAAGGAAUAAUAAAUCUGAAAGAUUGCAACAGAGAACAGAACUUGCACCCACCAUUUUUUUACAUGAUUUUUUGUUUUCAAAUAAGAAUGUAAGCAUUUUACUUAAAUUUUACUGUUUGCAAGUAGUCUAGAGAAAUUUUGUUUUAAGUCUUCAAAUAUCUUGAAAAAUAGUAGACUGUAUGUUGAAAAUUGUAUUGAAAUAAAGUAGAAAAUUGUUACGUACCAUAUUUGUAACUAUCAACUUUUAAAAAAAUACUUUUACUGUUUUUGUUACAUGCAUUGUAAUUCUGCUUUGUCUAUAAGAUACGGUCAAGUACAGAUCUGUGAAAGUUCUGAUUCUCUUCCUUCCCUGUUUGUUAAUGUUUAUUCUGAAGUAAACGUUAGCUCUACAUACAAAUCCCUGAACAGCAGUUGUUUAUAAAGACCACACUAAUUAUUUCAGUCAUAUACAUGUUUAACAUCCUCCUUCAUUCACACUACAUUGUAGGGUGACUAAUUUUUGAAGUGUACCAUGGAAAAAGUUGUUACUUUGGUAAACUCUGCUAAUAUAUCACCUCAGCAAAUGUUUAAAAAGAAAAGCUUCGCCAGUAGCUAAAAAGUAAAGCUAUUAAAAGUUAAAUUGAGAAGUAUACUUUUUUUUUUUAACUCAAAGCAUUGGCCUACAAAAACCAUUCUUAGGUUUUAUUAUUAUUUGGGUUCAAAAUUCAAUGUUCUUUUUAUAUUCUUAUUUGAAAGUUUGAGUCAUGGUCUUGGAAUCAGCUAUUCUUUGAGAGAGGAAAUUGGUUUGUAGUAAUACAAAUAAAAAGCCCAUUCUUAGCAAGCGUCUUAUUUAAAAAAAUAAAAAAGCAAAAUCUGUAAUCCUGGGGUUGGUGUGGAAGAGGAUUAUUCUGCAGAAUAACUUGAUACGUUAAAAAGAUGUGUACCUGAUGUCAUGUCUUACAUAUUUAUUUGAGCUUUUGAACAGCUGAAUCAUUACUUUGCAGUCUAACCAUAUGGAAAAAUAGGUGAACAGAAUAUACCGUUCGUCAUUAGUAUUUUAAGUAACUUGUUUUUCAAAUGUCACUAAUAAAAAUAUUUGACAGGAAAUUUUGUUACAGCAUUGAUCUAACUUGUUUCUUAUUUUUUCCAUAUUUCAGUUGAAGUGUGUAAAAUGGGUUUUUCUUUUUCUUCCCAAGGGUUCUAUUUUUUCUGAAAGAUAGUCUUUCAGAUGUGAAUUACCUUUAUGUUUAUGCUGAUAUCUCUUAAAAGGAAUGAAAAUUGGAAAUAGUAAAUUUCAGUGUAAAGUCUGUCUGCUCUGAGCAUAUAUAAAAGUAGUCAAAUUUCACUUGUUAAUUCAGCAGCCGAAUUAGUUGUAUAUGUUUGCAUUAAAAGGAGAUAAUGCUUACUCUGUUAAACUUUUAAACAUCUUAAAUGUAUGGCUUUUUUUUUUUUAUCUUCACUGAUGAUUUGCGAUGCUUCUAGCACCUUGAUUACAGUCAGGGGCAUUAGUUAAGAGCUUUAAGAGGGAAAAAUAGAAAACAAAACUCAACAUAUGUGAUGUUUAUGGCCCUAAGAUCCUUAAAUAUUGCAUGAUUUCUCCUAUAUUGUCUUUCUGAAAUUGUUAGAGAAGAGGAUAUCCUGUCAAAACAAGAAUGUUUUGCAUUAAUCAGAAGAUAACUAAUAUCCUAAUCAGAAUAAUACUUAAUAACACGCUAAAGCAACAUGGGUUUGAUCUCCAACACAGAAUUUUCACAACCAUUUUCUGUUAUACAAAUAAAUUUUAGCUUUUAUUCAAACAGUUAUUUUGUUAGAUACUGAAUCUCUGUAUGACUAUAGACAGACAAUUUUGCUUUUUCACCUAAGACAACAGGAAAAGGGAAUUGACUGAGAAAUUAUUUAAUAGAGAAUGGGAUUAAAGCUACCUAAGUCCUAUCAGCAGGUUAUGUUUUAAGAGUAAAUGUGUUAUUUUAACCCAAAUAUAUACACGAUUUGGUUACUUUUGUUAAGUAAAACUGAGGAAAGAGUAUCCCACAGAAUAUAGUAGGAAGGGUGAUUGUGAAAACACUGCAGUAGAAUGCUGUAGUGCAUGUUACCUUUUAUUAGAGGUAAGCAUAUAAAGAACCAAGCAUAUAAAGAGGAGCCUGUGUGAAUUUUUUAAAACCACAGUUGAACUCCAUACUUCCUGACACAUUAUAAAAAGGUAAAUGGUUCCUCUUGCCAGAAAAUAGCAACUCUUUGAUAACCUGUUAACAGACUUCCUUUUGCCUAGAGAAGGAAAGUAAAAAUGAACCCAAGGAUAUUUCCAGAAAGGAUUAAGAAAGCUGUUUAAGAAGGCCAUGACUCAGUCCUUAGGUGUGUAUACCUUUCAACAUUCUAGAAAUUUUAAUAUUAAAAGUAAAGUUUGUUUUUCCAAUUGCAGCCUACGUUAAAGAAUUAUUAUUGUUCCCUUUUGUCACAGUUAAAAUCAAGUGUUGGGAAUUCAUUUACAAUUUGAGUAAAAGUAUACCCAAUAAGAAUUAAUGUAGAUGGCUAAACGAUUCUUACUCAGUGUGAUGUAUAAUGCAACAGGGACCCUUGUAAAUUGUCAUAUGCCAAUAAAAUGUCAUAAGU